rnacentral:rRNA from 1 species
CACAAAGGCGGAAUCGAAAGUGAAGGGCUGCGGUCGCAGCUUGGAGGUGGGAUCCCUGGUCUUGGGCCAGGGCGCACCACCGGCCCGUCUCGGCCGGCCUUUGGUCCGGGAGGCGGCGCAAGAGCGUACACGUUGGGACCCGAAAGAUGGUGAACUAUGCCUGAGCAGGUUGAAGCCAGAGGAAACUCUGGUGGAGGACCGUAGCGAUUCUGACGUGCAAAUCGAUCGUCAAACUUGGGUAUAGGGGCGAAAGACUAAUCGAACCGUCUAGUAGCUAUUUCCUUCCAA